AAACACCAUUCCUCAACAUGAAGGAGACCACAGUGUGCAAUUCCACCGUCCUCAGGCUGUCAGUGGUUGGCAUAAGCAUAAAACAGACUACUUUGUCAUUGACUGUUGUACCAGUUCAGUAGCAAGUAAUCAUUCAUUUAUUUUACACGACCUCCAGAAAUUCCCAUACAAGAAAUACAGAGAAGCAGGAGGUGAUUUUGCCAUGUGGAGCAUCACCCCAGACUCAUCUACCCAACCAUAUUGGAAAUGGUUUGUCUGUCACUUCAAAUCAGAGCUAGAAAAUAAAUAUGGCAAAAAAUUUAUAAAUCUAGGCAGUAUUCCAGAUUUAUGGACCAAAAUUACAAAGCAAGACGUACUGGAUGACUUGAGAAACAAUACUUGCCACAAAUAUGACAC
rnacentral:lncRNA from 1 species